AUGAGCAGCGAGGCGGAGACCCAGCAGCCGCCGCCCGCCCCCGCCCUCAGCUCCACCUACACCAAGCCCGGCACUACGGGCAGCGGCGCAGGGAACGGUGUCCUGGGCGGCCUCACACCGACGGCGCCUGCCGGCGGGGACAAGAAAGUCAUCGCAACGAAGGUUUUGGGAACAGUAAAAUGGUUCAAUGUAAGGAACAGAUAUGGUUUCAUCAACAGGAAUGACACCAAGGAAGAUGUAUUUGUACCCCAGACUGCCAUAGAGAAUAACCCCAGGAAGUACCUUCCCAGGGUAGAUAGGGAGACUAUGGAGUUUGAUGUUGUUGAAGGAGAAAAGGGUGCGGAGGCAGCACAUGUUACAGGUCCUGGUGGUGUUCUAGUUCAAGGCAGUAAAUAUGCAGCAGACUAUAACCAUUAUAUAGACGCUAUCCAGUCGUGGGGGUCCUCCACGCAAUUACCAGCAAAAUUACCAGAACAGUGAGAGUGGGGAAAAGAACGAGGGAUCGGGGAGUGCUCCCGAAGGCCAGGCCCAACAACGCCGGCCCUACGGCGGCAAAGGUUCCCACCUGACUCCAUGCGGAGACCCUAUGGGUGUCGACCACAGCAUUCCAACCUGUGCAGGGAGAAGUGAUGGAGGGUGCUGGCAACCAGGGUGCAGGAGAACAACGUAGACCAAUGAGGCAGAAUAUGUGUUGGGGAUAUAGACCACGGUUCCGCAGGGGCCCUCCUCGCCCAAAACAGCCUAGAGAGGACGGCAAUGAAGAAGAUAAAGAAAAUCAAGGAGGUGACACCCAAGGUCAGCAGCCACCUCAACGUCGGUACCUCCGCAACUUCAAUUACCGACGCAGACGCCCAGAAAACCCUAAACCACAAGAUGGCAAAGAGACAAAAGCAGCAGAUCCACCAGUUGAGAAUUCGUCCACUCCGGAGGCUGAGCAGGGCAGGCUGAGUAA
rnacentral:lncRNA from 1 species